AAGUCGUAACAAGGUUUCCGUAGGUGAACCUGCGGAAGGAUCAUUAACGAAUUUCAAGGUGCGAUUUAUCGUGCUGAAUUCUCUCAACCCGUGCUCCUUAUAAUGUGUCUUGGUGGUGCCGAGAGUGUCUUCCCUGGAAGCUUGCUCUCCCAGACGUAAUACGCCUGGAGCAGCCCACCGAUGUCUUUUAAACACUAUCUUAUUUGUCUGAAACCAUAUAAAUUAAAAAUUUAAAAACUAUGAACAACGGAUCUCUAGGCUCUU
rnacentral:misc_RNA from 1 species